rnacentral:lncRNA from 1 species
CCGCUGUUAACCCCGGGGUCUAGAGAAGCACUGAGAGGACUCCUCAGCCUGAUCUCCUGCCCUGGGAGAAGCCAGCUGCCAUAUCAUGAGAACGUGUAAGCAUCCUUGAGGAGCGGUCCAUGUGCUUUCCAGUGACUGCAGCCCUGGCCAACCUCUUGAUGGCCUCCUCAUGAGAGCUGAUGAGCCAGGACCACCCAGUGAAGCCAUUCCUGGAUUCGUGUCCUGCAGACACGGAGAAUCUCUGCAUCAUGCUUUUAUGAAAUUAGAUAUGAGAUUGAAAUUGACAAACUAAAGAAAAUAUGGUAAUAAAUAUUGUUUU